rnacentral:rRNA from 1 species
AUGCCCUCACCCACACCCACACUCACCCCGGUGACUCCGACACCAGCACCGACCCCGACUGUCUUCAUCCCUCCACCUACAAACACUCCGGCACCCACGCCCAUACCGGCCUCUGUAACUCCAACAUCGGCACCGACCCCUAUGAUGCCUCCAAUACCAACCCCUAUAACUCCGACGCCGGUACCAGCUCCUCUCUCUCCAACACCAACAUGGGUGGCCCCAACAGCUACAGUCGUGAUGCCGCCAACACAGACGCAUGUGACACUAACGCCAUCACCGACCCCUGUCUCUCCAACGCCAAACCCGGUGGCCCCAACACCAACGCCUAUGAUGCCGCCAACACCGACGCCGGCAUCGACCCCUGUCUCUCCAACGCCAAGUCCGGUGGCCCCAACACCGACCAUGUGGUUCCGACGCCAGCACCAACCCCUGUCUCUCCAACGCCAUCCCCAGUGA